AUUGAACGCUGGCGGCAGGCCUAACACAUGCAAGUCGAGCGAGCGGCGGACGGGUGAGUAAUGUCUGGGAAACUGCCUGAUGGCGGGGGAUAACUACUGGAAACGGUAGCUAAUACCGCAUACCAUCAGAUGUGCCCAGAUGGGAUGAGCUAGUAGUUGGGGUAACGGCUCACCUAGGCGACGAUCCCUAGCUGGUCUGAGAGGAUGACCAGCUACACGGGAACUGAAACCAGGCCCAGACUCCUACGGUAGGCAGCGGUGGGGAAUAUUACACAGUGGGCGCAAGCCUGAUGCGACCCUGCCGCGUGUGGGGAAGAGGGCUUCGGGUUGUAAAGCACUUUCAGCGGAGAGGCGUUACCCGCAGAAGAAGCACCGGCUAACUCCGUGCCAGCAGCCGCGGUAAUAC
rnacentral:rRNA from 1 species